GGAGGGGCCUGGAGGGGGGCGUGGCCUGGAGGGGGCGGGGAUUCGUGGUGGGCGCCUGGGUGGGGGCGUGGCCUGUGUGGUCUGACGAUGGAUCUGAUUGGGUGAUGCCUGGGUGUGGGCGUGGCCUAAGUGUGGGCGCCGUCUGAUUGGGCGUUGCCAAGGAUGGGCGGGGCCUGUGGGGUGGGCGUGGUCAGGUUAGGGGCGUGGUCUAAAAAGGGGGCGGGGGCUUGAAGGGGGCGUGGCCUAGGGGACGUGCUGUGAUUGGUGGGUGCGUUUUGGGGUAAUUUUGUGGGGAUUUGGGGUUUUUUGUUCCCCUGCAGGACACGAAGAGCGGCAGAACGGCGCUGCUGAGGGCCGUGGAGAGCAACAGCCUGGAGAUGGCGGAGCUGCUGCUCAGGGUGGGGCAUUUUGGGGCAAAAUCCGGGGAAAUUGGGGCUUUGGGGUCAGUUUGGGGUGAAAUUGGGGCUUUUUGGGGUCAUGUUGGGGUGAAAUUGGGAUUUUUUGGGGUCAUUUUGGGUGAAAUUGGGGCUUUUUGGGGUCAUUUUGGGGUGAAAUUGGGAUUUUUUGUGGUCAUUUUGGGUGAAAUUGGGGCUUUUUGGGGUCAUUUUGGGGUGGAUUUGGGGCUUUUUGGGGUCAUGUUGGGGUGAGAUUGGGGUAUUUUGGGGUCAUUUUGGGGUGAGAUUGGGGCUUUUUGGGGUCAGUUUGGGGUGGAUUUGGGGCUUUUUGGGGUCAGUUUGGGGUGAAAUUGGGUCUUCUUGGGCUCCCUCACUACCCUCCUCUAUUCCCCAUUGCCCCAUACCGACCCCCAUUGACCCCAAUGACCCCCAUUGAUCCCCAUUGAACCCCGUUGCCCCAUACCGACCCCCAUUGACCCCCAUUGACCCCAUUGACCCCCAUUGCCCCUUACCGACCCCCAUUGACCCUCAUUGAC
rnacentral:lncRNA from 1 species